rnacentral:rRNA from 1 species
ACUCCUACGGGAGGCAGCAGUAAGGAAUAUUGGACAAUGGGGGCAACCCUGAUCCAGCCAUGCCGCGUGCAGGAUGACAGUGCUCUGCACCGUAAACUGCUUUUACUUGGGAAAAAACCUUUGCUUUCUAGCAGAGCUGAUUGUACCGAGAGAAUAAGGGACGGCUAACUUCGUGCCAGCAGCCGCGGUAAUACGAAGGUCCCAAGCGUUAUCCGGAUUUAUUGGGUUUAAAGGGUGCGUAGGCGGCUUAUUAAGUCAGUGGUGAAAGCCCCAAGCUUAACUUGGGAAUUGCCAUUGAUACUGAUGAGCUUGAGUAGAUUUGAGGCGGGCGGAAUGUGUCGUGUAGCGGUGAAAUGCUUAGAUAUGACACAGAACACCAAUUGCGUAGGCAGCUCGCUAAACUCUUACUGACGCUGAGGCACGAAAGCAUGGGGAUCAAACAGGAUUAGAUACCCUGGUAGUCCAUGCCCUAAACGAUGAUUACUCGAUGUGUGCGAUACACUGUACGCGUCUGAGCGAAAGCAUUAAGUAAUCCACCUGGGGAGUACGGUCGCAAGACUGAAACUUAAAGGAAUUGACGG